rnacentral:rRNA from 1 species
GACGAACGCUGGCGGCGUGCUUAACACAUGCAAGUCGAACGGAAAGGCCCUGCUUGCAGGGUACUCGAGUGGCGAACGGGUGAGUAACACGUGGGUGAUCUGCCCUGCACUUCGGGAUAAGCCUGGGAAACUGGGUCUAAUACCGGAUAGGAGCCAUUUUUAGUGUGAUGGUUGGAAAGUUUUUUCGGUGUAGGAUGAGCUCGCGGCCUAUCAGCUUGUUGGUGGGGUAAUGGCCUACCAAGGCGGCGACGGGUAGCCGGCCUGAGAGGGUGGACGGCCACAUUGGGACUGAGAUAGGGCCCAGACUCCUACGGGGGGCAGCAGGGGGGAAUAUUGCACAAUGGGCGCAAGCCUGAUGCAGCGACGCCGGGUGGGGGAUGACGGCCUUCGGGUUGUAAACUCCUUUCGCGGGGGACGAAGCUUUUUGUGACGGUACCUAGAUAAGAAGCCCCGGCAAACUACGG